rnacentral:lncRNA from 1 species
UGGUCUUCAAUAUCUUCAUCCUUGAAUUCAGUUUUGCUGACUUGAUUUUCUACACGCCCCCUCAAUCUGGAGGGUUGUUCUCGGAUAUGCAGAUUGUGUAGUACAUGCUUGAACUUUAAUGGAGGUAAUGGCUUUGUAAGCGCAUCUGCUAACUGAUCUCGGCUUGAAAUAAAUUGAACCGUCAAUUGUUUAUUGAAAACUUGAUCUCAUACGGAGUGAAAAUCAAUUUCUAUGUGCUUCAUUCUUGCAUGAAAAGUCGAAUUUGAUGUGAGGUAAGUGGCUCCAAUAUUAUCACACCAAAGAACCAGUGGCUGUGUUCGAGGAAGAUCAAGUUCAAAGAGAAGAGAUUUUAUCCAAGUGAGCUCGACUACUGUGUUUGCUAGUGUCUUGUAUUCAGCCUCAGUACUGCUUCUAGCAACUGUAGGCUGUUGUUUACAACUCCGAGAGAUUAAAUUGGGGCCAAUAUAGACACAGAAAGCACCAACCGAGCGUCGGUCAUCUCUAUCAGCAGCCCAUCAGAAUCUAAUUAAGCUUGCAACCUCAUAUCAGCACCUUUAUUGAUGUAGAGACCAGUGGAUAUCGAGUGUUUAAGGUAGCGCAAUAUGCGCUUAACUGCCAUCCAAUGUGUAUUAAGAGGUCGAGGCAUAAAUUUACUGACUUUAUGUACUGCAAAGGCUAAAUCAAGCCUUGUGAACGAUAGGUAUUGCAUCCUACCUACGAUGCUUCGAUAGAGACUUAUAUCUUCAAAAGGAUGUCCAUCGGUGAAAAUCAUAUGACAAUUAGAGGCCAUUGGACUUGUGCAGGGCUUUGCUUUGUCCAUGUUGCUCCUUUUCAGCAAAUCAACAAUAUACUUGCGUUGAGUGAGACAAAUUCCAUCUAAACGUCGAAGUGCCUCGACACUAAGAAAGAAAUUUAGUGCACCCAAGUCUUUGACAGCAAAAGUACUUUUCAAGUAGUUAAUCACAUGAAUGAUUGCAUUUGAAUUUGACCUUGUUAUCAAAAAAUAUCAUCCACAUAUAUGAGUAUGUAAGUAAUAGUAACUGAUUUUCG